rnacentral:lncRNA from 1 species
UUUGUGUUUUAGAGACAUUUUUUUUCAACUGAGCCAUUUAAGGGGAGAUAACUCUUUUAGUAAAAAAAAGUUACUGGUCUGAUUGGGAUUUUUUUUAAAUUUUACUUGUAUCAAGAAAGCAGUUCAGUGACACCACUUUUUCUUUUUUUUUCUUUAUACAUAUUAUAAAACCUAUCUUCUCACAAUUUCUUUCAAUGAAAGUUCUAUCUCAUAGAUUUUUUUUGCACAAAAAUGUGUUUUUGCAUGAUCCUACAAUUUUUCAAUGACUCAUAGUUUUAAAAAUAGCACAGAGGCCCAUUCUUUCUAUUAUAUUUUUUAAAAGAGCAUAUAAAAAUCUUCAAUUUAGCAAAGUAUAAAAAAAAUGAAUCUCAGGAAACUUACAUAUGAUCUGCCUUAACAUUGUGAGUACUUUUUAAAAGUUAUCAUGUAGAAAGUGGA